GACGAACGCUGGCGGCGCGCCUAACACAUGCAAGUCGAACGAGCGAGAGAGAGCUUGCUUUCUCAAGCGAGUGGCGAACGGGUGAGUAACGCGUGAGGAACCUGCCUCAAAGAGGGGGACAACAGUUGGAAACGACUGCUAAUACCGCAUAAGCCCACGGCUCGGCAUCGAGCAGAGGGAAAAGGAGCAAUCCGCUUUGAGAUGGCCUCGCGUCCGAUUAGCUAGUUGGUGAGGUAAUGGCCCACCAAGGCGACGAUCGGUAGCCGGACUGAGAGGUUGAACGGCCACAUUGGGACUGAGACACGGCCCAGACUCCUACGGGAGGCAGCAGUGGGGAAUAUUGCACAAUGGGGGAAACCCUGAUGCAGCGACGCCGCGUGGAGGAAGAAGGUCUUCGGAUUGUAAACUCCUGUUGUUGAGGAAGAUAAUGACGGUACUCAACAAGGAAGUGACGGCUAACUACGUGCCAGCAGCCGCGGUAAAACGUAGGUCACAAGCGUUGUCCGGAAUUACUGGGUGUAAAGGGAGCGCAGGCGGGAAGACAAGUUGGAAGUGAAAUCCAUGGGCUCAACCCAUGAACUGCUUUCAAAACUGUUUUUCUUGAGUAGUGCAGAGGUAGGCGGAAUUCCCGGUGUAGCGGUGGAAUGCGUAGAUAUCGGGAGGAACACCAGUGGCGAAGGCGGCCUACUGGGCACCAACUGACGCUGAGGCUCGAAAGUGUGGGUAGCAAACAGGAUUAGAUACCCUGGUAGUCCACACUGUAAACGAUGAUUACUAGGUGUUGGAGGAUUGACCCCUUCAGUGCCGCAGUUAACACAAUAAGUAAUCCACCUGGGGAGUACGACCGCAAGGUUGAAACUCAAAGGAAUUGACGGGGGCCCGCACAAGCAGUGGAGUAUGUGGUUUAAUUCGACGCAACGCGAAGAACCUUACCAAGUCUUGACAUCCCUUGACGAUGCUGGAAACAGUAUUUCUCUUCGGAGCAAGGAGACAGGUGGUGCAUGGUUGUCGUCAGCUCGUGUCGUGAGAUGUUGGGUUAAGUCCCGCAACGAGCGCAACCCUUAUGGUCAGUUACUACGCAAGAGGACUCUGGCCAGACUGCCGUUGACAAAACGGAGGAAGGUGGGGAUGACGUCAAAUCAUCAUGCCCUUUAUGACUUGGGCUACACACGUACUACAAUGGCGUUAAACAAAGAGAAGCAAGACCGCGAGGUGGAGCAAAACUCAGAAACAACGUCCCAGUUCGGACUGCAGGCUGCAACUCGCCUGCACGAAGUCGGAAUUGCUAGUAAUCGUGGAUCAGCAUGCCACGGUGAAUACGUUCCCGGGCCUU
rnacentral:rRNA from 1 species